rnacentral:rRNA from 1 species
AUUGAACGCUGGCGGCAUGCUUUACACAUGCACGUCGGACGAGUGGCGAACGGGUGAGUAAUAUAUUGGAAAGUACCGAGUAAUGGGGGAUAACCAAUCGAAAGAUUGGCUAAUACCGCAUACUAUUGGAGCGUCCCAGAUCUGAUUAGCUAGUUGGUGGGGUAAAGGCUCACAAAGGCGACGAUCAGUAGCGGGUCUGAGAGGAUGAACCGCCACACUGGAACGUAGACACGGUCCAGACUCGUACGGGAGGCAGCAGUGGGGAAUUUUGGAAAAUGGGCGAAAGCCUGAUCCAGCCAUGCCGCGUGUCUGAAGAAGGCCUUCGGGUUGUAAAGGACUUGUGUUAGGGAAGCGGUACCUAAAGAAUAAGCACCGGCGAACUACGUGCCAGCAGCCGCGGUAAUAC